GACGAACGCUGGCGGCGUGCUUAACACAUGCAAGUCGAACGGAAAGGCCCUGCUUUUGUGGGGUGCUCGAGUGGCGAACGGGUGAGUAACACGUGAGUAACCUGCCCUUGACUUUGGGAUAACUUCAGGAAACUGGGGCUAAUACCGGAUAGGAGCUCCUGCUGCAUGGUGGGGGUUGGAAAGUUUCGGCGGUUGGGGAUGGACUCGCGGCUUAUCAGCUCGUUGGUGGGGUAGUGGCUUACCAAGGCUUUGACGGGUAGCCGGCCUGAGAGGGUGACCGGCGACAUUGGGACUGAGAUACGGCCCAGACUGCUACGGGAGGCAGCAGUGGGGAAUAUUGCACAAUGGGCGGAAGCCUGAUGCAGCAACGCCGGGUGCGGGAUGACGGCCUUCGGGUUGUGAACCGCUUUCGCCUGUGACGAAGCGUGAGUGACGGUAAUGGGUAAAGAAGCACCGGCUAACUACGUG
rnacentral:rRNA from 1 species